GAGGUUCCGGUUCACGUCCGAUUGCGAGCUUCUCAGGGCGACCCGGCGACC
rnacentral:ncRNA from 1 species